GGUUUACAUGUAGCAGGCGUGUUUUGUUUUGCUGCCGUGCAGAAAUUUUUUAAGUAACAUACAUGCAUCAGCAGAGUCAGGAGGUUCUGUUCAAGACUUCUUUCCAUGGAUGAAAGUGGAGAAAGUUGAAUUAAACGCUUGAUGUAUGGGCUCUGAACACAUUAUGAUGUGCUGGUCCAGAUGGAUCUGGAUUUGUGACUUUUGCAAGUAAUUACGUAACUUCUUUCAUUUAUCACAAUAUGUUAUAUUCAUUUAAUUGAUCUCAAAGAUAUUCAUUACAUUUUUGUACUUGUUAUGUUGAUUUUUGCUUAUAUUCCAUAAAUGGGUACCUAUUCCAUAUUUGGUUACUCUUUUGUGAUUUUGUUUUUUGUGUUAUAUUUUAAUUUGAUUACUGAUAUAUUUGGUUAAAGGCCGUUAAUUACUACUUAUAGAUGUAUGACUGAUCAGUAAAAACAAUAAACUGAUUUAAUUUA